rnacentral:rRNA from 1 species
ACACGACUACUAUUAGACUACCCGGUAGUCCUAGACCGUAAACGAUACUCGCUAGGUGUCGGCCACGGUGCGACCGUUGUCGGUGCCGUAGGGAAGCCGUGAAGCGAGCCACCUGGGAAGUACGGCCGCAAGGCUGAAACUUAAAGGAAUUGGCGGGGGAGCACCACAACGGGUGGAGCUUGCGGUUUAAUUGGAUUCAACGCCGGAAAUCUUACCGGGACCGACAGCAGCAUGAAGGCCAGGCUGAAGACUUUGCCGGAUUAGCUG